GUCGAAGGUCAUUCGGUACUGGAGAUGGUAGAGGAUGAGAGCAAUGAUUUGUGUUUAGAGUUAGGUGUCAUUCGCCCCGGUUUGGUGGGGACAGUCCCUUAUUCCGAGUUAAGCGUCCCGGGCUCAGAAAUUAAAUUUAAAAAAUUCUCAAUAAACGGAACAAAGUAGAUGGCCCACCCUGUAUACUCCAUUUCUUCAUUCAACAUUUGGUUUAAAUGGCGCGAACGUCAGCGUUGUUCACUGACAACAUUCAAAGUGAAACACAAGAUAAUUUAUGAAUUUUAAGUAUUAAUAAUUACGAAUAAAUAUUACUUUGUGAAUUGUUGAAACAAAAGGGUUCUUUCAACUAUAAUUUGAAGAAACAGUAAUUUUUUAAAAGCCACUUAUGGCGAUUCCAACGUUUGUUGCGUCAAAUGUAAUGCAACUUUUUCUGUUGCUGCUGGAGGCAUUGAUAUUGAUAAUCAUUUGAAUACAAAGAAGAACAAAGUGGCAGCAAAUGCAAACUUCAAUCAUAUCAGAUUUUUGCAUCGGAGAUAAACCAGAUUUGAGAGAGAAUCACAGUGUUAGAUUUUUCAAACUUUUUAUUGUAGAUGAAACGACUGCGCAAGCAAAAUAUUUCGAACCUGUUUCCAAAUGAAAAAAAUUUCGUGUUCAAGAACAAAAAGUGAAUCGAUAAUAACCAAUGUUUUUGCACCAUUCGCUUUGGAAUGCCUGAAGUCUGAUAUACAGAAAGCCCGAUUCGUUAGUUUCUUCCAUUAUCUGGAAUGAAUAUUAAAAUAAUUGAACUUUGUCCAGAAAAAGGUGAAACGUCGGAUAUGAAUUUUUCAUUGAUUAAAGGGUCUUGGAAACUUUCGAUUUAACUGAUAAAUUGAUCGCUUAUUUCUGCCGCGUUGAUUAUAAAAGUUAAGAAAAAUUAAAAAAAAUUAAAAUCGAACAUAGUUGGCGUAGGUUGUGCAAAGCAUGUUGUGCAUAGUACGAUUCUUAACGCAUGUAAUGCACUUGAUGUUGAAAUAGAGAGCAUUGUUGUUCAGAUCUACACUCAUUUUACAUCCACACAAUUCGCACAGAAACAUUAAAGUCAAUCUGUAAGAUUUAUGAAGACGAAUACGAUCAACUGGUUUGUUACUGCAAAACUCGGUUCAUUGGCUUGAGAUAAGCUUUGCGGAAAAUCAAUCGAAUGUUCCAACCUUUGAAAACGUAUUUCUACGACCUUCCUUUGCCCCUCAAUAAAGCCAGAUGUAUCCGACUUUCUUUCAGUAAUCCACUAUCCAAGCUUUGGUUCAUUAUUGUUCAUGAACAGGUUAGUUACCUUGUAACAUUUAAUGAACAAUUUGCAAACAUCCAACCAAAACAAUUACUUUCCGUUGCAAGUAAAAGCGGAAAUAGAGAACCUGAGGAAAGAACACUAUGACUUGAUGCAAUUUUAAGUAAAUGCGAAACAAUUUCAAAUUUUGUUUUCUCAUUUUGAAUUGUCUUCAAUUUGUCAAUCAGGUGAUUGCUACGAACAUCAUGAGGCAUGGACUCAACAGUUGGCUCAUGUAAAACUAUUUGGUUGCUACUCACUGAUAAACUCGCUGGGAAAAAAAUGAGAAAACGUUUAUUUUCCUUACAGAAAAUAAUAUAAUAUUCUUCGCGUGGAUCGUGUUCAAGCCUAGUAUGACCACGUCUCAAUCCACCAGCACAAAAUUCAACGGUGCGUUUUGAAGUUGAUGACUCCUUAUACACUUCUAACAAUUGUUCAUAAAUUUCCUUUGCUUUUAAACUUUUAAAACAAAUAAUCUAAUCACUGCGAGAUAUUAAAUGUUUUCCAUAUAAAAAAAAUAUUCUGACACGUCAAAUGGCCUGUCAAAUGGCCUGUAAACAAAGAAUUAUUGACAGAAUGACUUGCAACAAAUUUGGAGCUGGUGGCGCUCCUUCUCCAAGAAAUCGCAAACAAGCUGAUAGUUAUACAAUGGUAUCUAUUGGAAAAUGCUUACUCUCCAUUGGCAAUUUAUUUUGUAACACUUUCAACAAGUAUUAAAACGUGGGCUUAUUCAUUCUGUAUAACUAUUUAAAACUAUAAAUUAAGGUAGAAAUGAUUUAAAAAUUAAAUAAAAUUUAUCUUGUAUUGGGUAAUUCAAAAAGAUUGGUAUUGUCUCUUAAAUUACUUCGGUAAAUCCUUUCAGCCAACUGCUGGCGGGAAUUGUUUUCCUUUUCCAAUAUACGAAGUCGCAAGUAUACA